rnacentral:rRNA from 1 species
CACGCAGGCGGUUGGAUAAGUUAGAUGUGAAAGCCCCGGGCUCAACCUGGGAAUUGCAUUUAAAACUGUCCAGCUAGAGUCUUGUAGAGGGGGGUAGAAUUCCAGGUGUAGCGGUGAAAUGCGUAGAGAUCUGGAGGAAUACCGGUGGCGAAGGCAGCCAUCUGGCCUAAUACUGACGCUGAGGUACGAAAGCAUGGGGAGCAAACAGGAUUAGAUACCCCAGUA